AUUGAACGCUGGCGGCAGGCUUAACACAUGCAAGUCGAGCGGGGUGAUGGUGCUUGCACUAUCACUUAGCGGCGGACGGGUGAGUAAUGCUUCGGAAUCUGCCUAUUAGUGGGGGACAACAUUUCGAAAGGAAUGCUAAUACCGCAUACGUCCUACGGGAGAAAGCAGGGGAUCUUCGGACCUUGCGCUAAUAGAUGAGCCUAAGUCGGCUUAGCUAGUUGGUGGGGUAAAGGCCUACCAAGGCGACGAUCUGUAGCGGGUCUGAGAGGAUGAUCCGCCACACUGGGACUGAGACACGGACCAGACUCCUACGGGAGGCAGCAGUGGGGAAUAUUGGACAAUGGGCGGAAGCCUGAUCCAGCCAUGCCGCGUGUGUGAAGAAGGCCUUAUGGUUGUAAAGCACUUUAAGCGAGGAGGAGGCUACUUUAGUUAAUACCUAGAGAUAGUGGACGUUACUCGCAGAAUAAGCACCGGCUAACUCUGUGCCAGCCGCCGCCGUAAAAC
rnacentral:rRNA from 1 species